AAGCAGUAAUAACAAGGGGAAUAUUGGUUUCGCGGAGGUCUAAACGACUCAGUAAACUGCGCCAGCUCGCUUUUAGACACCCAAAUGCACAUUCUACCACCAUUCUGCACUUGCUCAGCCUAUAGUUGAAAAGCUCCUGACUACUGUCAAGGGGGCCUGGGUAUGGCUUCAGAGCC